rnacentral:rRNA from 1 species
GACGAACGCUGGCGGCGUGCCUAAUACAUGCAAGUCGAGCGGACUGAAUGGGAGCUUGCUCUUGUUCGGUCAGCGGCGGACGGGUGAGUAACACGUGGGCAACCUGCCCGCAAGACCGGGAUAACUCCGGGAAACCGGAGCUAAUACCGGAUAACACCGAAGACCGCAUGGUCUUUGGUUGAAAGGCGGCGCAAGCUGCCACUUGCGGAUGGGCCCGCGGCGCAUUAGCUAGUUGGUGAGGUAACGGCUCACCAAGGCGACGAUGCGUAGCCGGCCUGAGAGGGUGACCGGCCACACUGGGACUGAGACACGGCCCAGACUCCUACGGGAGGCAGCAGUAGGGAAUCUUCCGCAAUGGGCGAAAGCCUGACGGAGCGACGCCGCGUGAGCGAAGAAGGCCUUCGGGUCGUAAAGCUCUGUUGUGGGGUACGAAGGAGCGCCGUUUGAAGAAGGCGGCGCGGUGACGGUACCUCACGAGGAAGCCCCGGCUAACUACGUG